UGAGGAAUAUUGGUCAAUGGGCGAGAGCCUGAACCAGCCAAGUCGCGUGAAGGAAGACAGUCCUAAGGAUUGUAAACUUCUUUUAUACGGGAAUAACGGGCGAUACGAGUAUUGCAUUGAAUGUAUCGUAAGAAUAAGCAUCGGCUAACUCCGUGCCAGCAGCCGCGGUAAUACGGAGGAUGCGAGCGUUAUCCGGAUUUAUUGGGUUUAAAGGGUGCGUAGGUUGUUCGGUAAGUCAGCGGUGAAACCUGAGCGCUCAACGUUCAGCCUGCCGUUGAAACUGCCGGGCUUGAGUUCAGCGGCGGCAGGCGGAAUUCGUGGUGUAGCGGUGAAAUGCAUAGAUAUCACGAGGAACUCCGAUUGCGAAGGCAGCUUGCCAUACUGCGACUGACACUGAAGCACGAAGGCGUGGGUAUCAAACAGGAUUAGAUACCCUGGUAGUCCACGCAGUAAACGAUGAUUACUAGGAGUUUGCGAUAUACCGUCAAGCUUCCACAGCGAAAGCGUUAAGUAAUCCACCUGGGGAGUACGCCGGCAACGGUG
rnacentral:rRNA from 1 species